rnacentral:rRNA from 1 species
GAUUGUUCACCCACCAAUAGGGAACGUGAGCUGGGUUUAGACCGUCGUGACACAGGUUAGUUUUACCCUACUGAUGACAGUGUCGCAAUAGUAAUUCAACCUAACGAGAGGAACCGUUGAUUUGCACAAUUGGUCAUCGCGCUUGCUUGAAAAGCCAGUGGCACGAAGCUACCAUGCGCUGGAUUAUGACUGAACGCCUCUAAGUCAGAAUCCGUGCUAGAAGUGAUGCAUACGCCCACCGCCCGCUUGCCGACCCGCAGUAGGGGCCGUCCGGCCCCCAAAGGCACGUGUCGUUGGUGAAGCCCGCGCGGCGGAUGAGCCGCGCGGGCCGCCUUGAAGUAAUAUUCCUAUCUCGAGCGGUGAGUAGAAUCCUAUGCAGACGACUUCAAUACGCGAUGGGGUAUUGUAAGUGGCAGAGUGGCCUUGCUGCCACGAUCCACUGAGAU